GCUUGCUUUGGUAAUGCAGUUACUAAAAUUGGAAUGAAACAGAGAAGAUUAGUGUGAUCCCUGAGCUAGGAUUACACACAAAUUCAUGAAUUGUUUCAUGAUUCC